CGGAUCAGAACGCCGCGGUGAAUACGUUCCCGGGUCUUGUACACACCGCCCGUCACACCACGAGAGUUUGUAACACCCGAAGCCGGUGAGGUAACCUUUUAGGAGCCAGCCGUCUAAGGUGGGAUAGAUAAUUGGGGUGAAGUCGUAACAAGGUAGCCGUAUCGGAAGGUGCGGCUGGAUCACCUCCUUU
rnacentral:rRNA from 1 species